rnacentral:rRNA from 1 species
GACGAACGCUGGCGGCGUGCUUAACACAUGCAAGUCGAACGGAAAGGCCCUGCUUGCAGGGUACUCGAGUGGCGAACGGGUGAGUAACACGUGGGUGAUCUGCCCUGCACUUCGGGAUAAGCCUGGGAAACUGGGUCUAAUACCGGAUAGGAGCCAUUUUUAGUGUGAUGGGUGGAAAGUUUUUUCGGUGUAGGAUGAGCUCGCGGCCUAUCAGCUUGUUGGUGGGGUAAUGGCCUACCAAGGCGGCGACGGGUAGCCGGCCUGAGAGGGUGGACGGCCACAUUGGGACUGAGAUACGGCCCAGACUCCUACGGGAGGCAGCAGGGGGGAAUAUUGCACAAUGGGCGCAAGCCUGAUGCAGCGACGCCGCGUGGGGGAUGACGGCCUUCGGGUUGUAAACUCCUUUCGCUAGGGACGAAGCUUUUUGUGACGGUACCUAGAUAAGAAGCACCGGCUAACUACGUG